UACAGAGGUCCCAAGCGUUGUUCGGAUUCACUGGGCGUAAAGGGUGCGUAGGCGGUCGGGUAAGUCUGACGUGAAAUCCCGCAGCUCAACUGCGGAACUGCGUCGGAUACUAUUCGGCUUGAGGAAUGGAGGGGAGACUGGAAUUCCCGGUGUAGUGGUGAAAUGCGUAGAUAUCUGGAGGAAUACCGGUGGCGAAGGCGGCAUCCUGGACCGACAUUGACGCUGAGGAGCGAAAGCUAGGGGAGCAAACGGG
rnacentral:rRNA from 1 species